AUUACCCAUCACUUGUGGUCACCAUUGUAGGUCCCUGAAAUACCAUUUCGAUAGUGACAGAAAUUCCACAACUAUAGAAGGCAAACAAUUGGCAUGAGGUUUUAUUAACCUUACCAUGGCCACAGAAUUUAUAGUUUAGCUACCUCUUAUUUUACCACUACACCUCUGUCUACCAUUGUGCACAGCAAUACUUUAAAUGUAAUUUUCUUAUUACAAAAUGUGCUCUCAAUCUCACACACACACACUUUCUCUCUUUUUCUCAAUCUUUCUCUCUCUCACUUAUCUUAUUAUUUUUGUUUUGAUGAUAUAUGAUUUAAUUAAUUAUUCUAAAUCUCCCCCUCUCAGAUUGUGCAGGACUUCGAGGUUCUUCAUAAAGAGGCAUCAGACUAAAUCUUUGACCUGGAGGAGGUUCAGCGAGAAGCUUGUUCAUGCGGCCCAGUGGGAGGGGUAGAAGCUCCACGUGCAGACAGAGACAGAGUCUUUGUCUCAAGGCUCCAAAGACUACAUUGCCCUGAUGGUUCUGCCAGGUCUGAUUCCACCUGCAGUCUUCAGGAUGGGCCGAAAGACCGUGAGGACCACAGUGUCUGACGCCAUGAAGGCCUUCAUCGAUCUUAAGCCUGUCGGAGCCAACAUGGUGGAGUACCUUCAGGCAGCAGAGUAGACCAGGCCAUACCCCUGCACCCUGGUGUUGGGAGGCGAGGACUGCUGCUCUCAGGCAUUCACCGUUCCCAGUGGGCCGGCCCUGUAGCACGACAGCGUUGUCCAAGCUGUACAUGUUUGUGUCAAAUGUUUUUAUGUGUUUGAUAUCAAUUUCCCAAAGCAGUGUUUCUCUG